UCUGCUGUUACAAAUAAAGUUCAGGAACAUUGGUGACUAAUUUUAGUGUUGCAUCAACCUAACUGACUGUAAGUCUUCUGUCUUAAACACAGACCAAAUCAGGCCAGGGUGAGUAAAGUUGGAGAUCCCUUAAGCACAUGCUACAGAGUCCCAUGUGCCCGGAACAUCAAAGACUCUCUCAUUGUCUCCUACAGCUUGCCCCAGUAAGCAACCAACUACACGUCCCAUUUCUUUAGGGUGUGAUAACAUCAAGAAUAUAAACAGUAAAAUUGAUGUUCCACAUGAAAGGCAGCCAUUUCAGCCAGGUAGAAGAGCUUUCUCUCAAGAUAACCAUCACAUUUCAUUAUGCAGAAGUAUAUGAAAGGAUAUUACUUCCAGUUUCUCUAGGUUCAAAAGAAAGAGGAGUGAAGAGGAGUAAAACACACAUCUAUUAAAAAGCAAGAAGAUUAAAUAAAUUGAAGCUUUUUAUUUCUCUUUCUCUGCCUAAGACUGCCCCAAGAUGUGAUUCUUCUUUGCAGUCUUUCUGGAGAAGUUGUAUGUGACAAGCAAACAUAUCUCCUGAGUGUCCUGUUGGUCUCGUGGCAGCUUGUUGUAAAGUGGAGAAACAUCAUUUCACAUCACUUUUUCUUUGCCUCACUUCUCUCUCUCUUUUUUUUUUUUUUUUUUUUUUUUUUUUUAUCUCACCCUCACUCUUUUGGGCUUACACCUUCCAAAUAAAAGGUAUGCUACCAUAAUGGGGUGCUCGAUGGGGUGCCUCAUGUAAUACUUCUUAAA
rnacentral:lncRNA from 1 species